CAUGAACGGUUGUUCCCUUUUGUGAGGCCAGGCCUGAGCACCAGGAAGUUCUAGAAGCAGCACAUGGAGAGAGAUGGAGUGAACCAAAAAAGGGGCAAAAACAGCCUGUCUGCAGUAGACAAGGCUUGCCCAGGUGUCCCGUCUGAGCCCAGAGCCAAUCUCCUUAUUGCCCUUAAAAAAAGGUUGUCUUAAGACUCAGUAUUCCAAUUGUGUGCUGUUAACUUUGUUCCCAAGGGUAAUUCCCUACUAGGACUUCACCCUUCAUAAUGAAAAUUAAACAAGCUUGGCAGAGAAGAAAAUAAAAAGACAUUCUGAGACAAUUUGAAAGAAAAGAUUUUUAAAAUGCAAAACAGCAAAGAUCACCAAACAAGGAUGGGACAAUAUUAACCCAUCUUCCAAGCUGGAUCAUUCUUGCUGUGCCAGGAUGGGUGAGCUUCAUACAUUCAGAAACUGCCAAGACCCCGAAGAAAUUCUUUGGGAAUUUGAAACCCACUUCAAGGAAGGAAAAAAAAAAAAGGAAAUCCAUCUUACAGUAUUAGUCACCAAGAUGGGUGUGAAGACAACGGGCUAUAAACCAAACUCGGCUCCAUCUCCAAGACCAAAGAACAGUCUCUAACAAACUGCUUUGAAUUUUAAGAAUUAGCAAUAAUGCUGGCAAACCGGUUUCCUUUUCUUAAAAAAUGAAAUAAUAAUAAUUUGUUUAAAACCUCCAAAUUGACUCCUAAUGUUACCACCAAAUAAAGAACAUGGGCUGAGACUUCAAGCAAAAGCCAGGAUGUUCAAAAGCCAGAGAAAAACACUUAGCUAUGAAAAAAUAAAAAUAUGAGUUGGAAAUAAAAUCCCAGGGAAGCAAAUUUGGUGUGCACUAGAGGUCUUGCAUUCUACCAGCAAAAGCAGGCAGUG
rnacentral:lncRNA from 1 species